rnacentral:rRNA from 1 species
UACGAAGGGGGCUAGCGUUGCUCGGAAUCACUGGGCGUAAAGGGCGCGUAGGCGGCCGAUCAAGUCAGGGGUGAAAGCCUGUGGCUCAACCACAGAAUGGCCUUUGGUACUGUUCGGCUCGAGACCGGAAGAGGUUGGUGGAACUGCGAGUGUAGAGGUGAAAUUCGUAGAUAUUCGCAAGAACACCAGUGGCGAAGGCGGCCAACUGGUCCGGUUCUGACGCUGAGGCGCGAAAGCGUGGGGAGCAAACAGG